rnacentral:rRNA from 1 species
CAUAGGUUAAUGAGGCGAACCGGGGGAACUGAAACAUCUAAGUACCCCGAGGAAAAGAAAUCAACCGAGAUUCCCCCAGUAGCGGCGAGCGAACGGGGAGCAGCCCAGAGCCUGAAUCAGUGUGUGUGUUAGUGGAAGCGUCUGGAAAGGCGCGCGAUACAGGGUGACAGCCCCGUACACAAAAAUGCACAUGCUGUGAGCUCGAUGAGUAGGGCGGGACACGUGGUAUCCUGUCUGAAUAUGGGGGGACCAUCCUCCAAGGCUAAAUACUCCUGACUGACCGAUAGUGAACCAGUACCGUGAGGGAAAGGCGAAAAGAACCCCGGCGAGGGGAGUGAAAAAGAACCUGAAACCGUGUACGUACAAGCAGUGGGAGCCUCUUUAUGGGGUGACUGCGUACCUUUUGUAUAAUGGGUCAGCGACUUAUAUUCUGUAGCAAGGUUAACCGAAUAGGGGAGCCGAAGGGAAACCGAGUCUUAACUGGGCGUUAAGUUGCAGGGUAUAGACCCGAAACCCGGUGAUCUAGCCAUGGGCAGGUUGAAGGUUGGGUAACACUAACUGGAGGACCGAACCGACUAAUGUUGAAAAAUUAGCGGAUGACUUGUGGCUGGGGGUGAAAGGCCAAUCAAACCGGGAGAUAGCUGGUUCUCCCCGAAAGCUAUUUAGGUAGCGCCUCGUGAAUUCAUCUCCGGGGGUAGAGCACUGUUUCGGCAAGGGGGUCAUCCCGACUUACCAACCCGAUGCAAACUGCGAAUACCGGAGAAUGUUAUCACGGGAGACACACGGCGGGUGCUAACGUCCGUCGUGAAGAGGGAAACAACCCAGACCGCCAGCUAAGGUCCCAAAGUCAUGGUUAAGUGGGAAACGAUGUGGGAAGGCCCAGACAGCCAGGAUGUUGGCUUAGAAGCAGCCAUCAUUUAAAGAAAGCGUAAUAGCUCACUGGUCGAGUCGGCCUGCGCGGAAGAUGUAACGGGGCUAAA